AUUUUAUUUUAUUGAACUCAAGGAGUCUUGUUUGGUUUGGUUUUGAACUUAGAGUGACAAGAUUUGACAAUACCAGAAGCGAGAACAUUUCUCAGCAGACGGUGCUGACCAGUACAGUCAAUCACACGCAGGAAAGUGACGCUCAUCUUAUUCAGCUCGUGUCUCUGAUUUUGUAGAAGCUUCGCUGCCUGGAAAACAGACUGCAAAUAAAUAAAGUGCACUGAGAGCCCAUCAGGCAGCCAGGGCCGACUGGGGGGAGAGGGGAGAGGUGGGGGAGGAAGCACGCUAACUACUCAAGGCCAAAGUGGUCAGAAAAGCAGAGGCAGGAACACAUGCUGAAGAUGUGCGGACCCUCCCCAGUCCCCGGGCCUCGCGCUGAGACUUCCUGCGCCCUCGGGACCGGGACCGGGACCGGGACCGGGACCGGGGACCCGCGGGGCGGGGCGGGGCGUCCCUGCAGAGGAGGGGUCUCAGGCCAGGGGCCCUGAGGCUCCCCCCACACCUCUCCCUGUUGGGAAGAGGUGUCAUAGGCCCCGGGCAGCUCCAGCUGAGCCACAAGGCUGCAGCUGGGGAGCAGGUCACCCCGAGGGCGAGACCUGGGCUUGAACGGGGCACAUCUGUGGAUCAGCCCCGAGGAGGCCCCUCGUCCUCUCCUCUCAGGCAGCCCAUGUGGCUCUCGCAGGCUGUCCCCACAGAUCUGUGGAUGGAGUCAGCAGGCUGGCAGGCUCCCACAAGUGGUUCCGGGUGGAAGGGGAUUGGGCGCAGGAGGGGCCACAGGACCGGGGAUCCCAGGACACUCGGUACAAGGAAGGAAGCCAGUACACCCUGUCCGCGGGGAAACUGCAGGGGAUACAUGGUGGCCUCGUCUGGCCUCAGUCCCCAGGGCCAGGCAGGCAGAGCCCUUCACCCAGGACCGGGCUUCCAGCUGGACGGCAGAGGAGGGCAGGUGGUGUGACCCUGGGCCCCUCUGUCCCUGGGGCUGACCGGACCACUUCGGUUUUCAGUCCCAGGAACUCGGAGCACUGGGGGCCGAGGGCAGCCAGCGGCAGAGCGGCUGUGGGACCGGGGUCUUUCCUGGCUCCCCCGGGGCCGAGGCUGGCCAUCCUGGUACGGGGGGAGCAGCACACCCGGGGCCUCCAGGACCAUCCAAGCCCAUCUAGAGGAGGUUCUCUCGCGUGAUCCUGGGCUCGGGGGGCCAAGCCUGGGGACAGAGAGAUGGGGUUAUGCGUGGGUCCCGGCCCCGGCCCCCACACCAGCUUUAUCCCUUCACCCUCCUGGUUCCAUCACGUUCCCAGGAGCCACGCUACCCCCCACCCCCACUCUGCCACCCAGACUGAGAGGCUUCUGCCGCUCGACUGCUGAGGAGUCCUUGGUCACGCCUGGGGUGGGGCGGCAGGGGCGGCCAGGCUGUGUAGAUGAAGGCNUCCGGCAUCGGGUUGCGCUCGAUCCAGCGGGUAAGCUGGCCUCGAACCCUCGCUUGGAGGCGCUGCCUCCGCCUCCUGCGCGGAGACGUAACGGGGGACCCGUGCGUAACGGCUGACGCGCUGGAAUCCUCCGUCUGACGCGGGGCACGCACGGCGCGCGGCGCCCCCUUCGUCCGCCCCGCCCCUGACGUCCCGGAGCGUUCUAUUUUGGAACGCCGGGGCCACGUUGCUAAGGGAGGGGGCAGCUCGGCGUUCCGAUUGGCCGCCGCGGCGCGGGUUUUGGCCAAUCAACUUUCCCUUCCCAUUUGUAGGGUACAGUUCCCUUCCCCCUCUCUGUCCCCGGAACUCGUGGUUCCUUGGCGCUAGGGUCUCUUUUACGGGCCUCUAAAGGCAGAACGAGGGGAUUCCUGUCGCGACAGGAGCGACUCUCUGCGAUCCAAUGGGUCCGCGAGGACCCUGCGGCGAGCCGGCCCCUCCGAUCUCAGGGGCCGAGGGUGCCUGUGUGCAGGGGUUUCUUUGGGAGACAUGGGUGACUGUCACCCUUUUCUCCAGGCAUACACAGACACAGUCCCAGCCCCUCUGCCAGAUCCCUCUGCUGUGUCCGAGAACCGGACUGGAACCGCUAACCGCAGGGGCGGCCAGGCUGUGUAGAUGAAGGCCUCGGCUCCACAAGGGGUUCUGGGACUGUCUCCCGUGUCCAUCUCAGCCCCGACUGUCUUCCCUGUGACCUGCCACCCCCCCCUCCAAGGAAAGCCAGUUCCCCACACUCCCUACCCUGGGCCUCUCUCUCCCCCUAGGUGCCCCGAGGGCCUUGAGGUCCCCUCCCCCACCCCCACCUGUCCUGCCAGGUUUUCUGGAAGACAGGGGACAGAUUCAGCCCCACCACUUCUUGUGUGUGUGACAAGGGCAAAUCUCUUCCUGUCUCAGAGCCCGCGUUUCCAGUCAUGGGGUGGGGAGAACAGAACGCCCUCAAAGUGUUGCUAGGAGGUCUAGUGUGGAGGUGACACGGUCUCAUCCUUCCCCACGCCAGAACUGGACCGCUGGGUACCCCACCCCUCCGUGCCUCUGCCUGGAAGGCCCUUCCUGUCCUCCUGGGCCGGGCCCUUUGCCCAGCAGCUCCCCGGGGCAGCUCUAGGGCCAGGGGCGCCCCUGGGCAGGGAUUUGAGUCUCUUGACAAGGCCAGAGAAGGGGCGGGUCACCACCUACAAACACUGGUUCCUGAAAGACAGAAAGAGGCGGAGACUUGACAGUGCCUCCUCACCCAGAACACCCCCUCCCCUUUCCCCAAGUGCUGCCUCCUCUACAAGCCCCUCGUCCACC
rnacentral:lncRNA from 1 species